GUACACCUCAUUUAAAGCGGCAGCGCGGAGAGCACAGGAACCCAUCUCUUCCUCAAUACUGCAAGUUAAAGGGAAAAUAAACAUGAAUGACCAUCAAAAGAUGGGCGUGUUGACUGUGUUUGGAGCGCGACCUGAUUGGCUGGUUGAGCUGAGCUGUUUUGACUGAUUCGUAUGGUGAGACGCUUCAAAACAAAAGUCUUUUAGUUAGCGAAUGAGCAAACUAAAAGGAUCUGUAGCAGGUGCCAAAGUAAUAUGCUGAAAACAGUCAUGUCAGCUAUAGUAACAGGCCUGUGGAGCAUUUGACAGUGAGUCUUAUUCCGAAGAAAGAGCCAAGAAGGUCCGAAGAAAGCGAAAAGGCCACUGGUAGGAAAGAAUGAGCGCAAAUGAGAGAUCAUGAAAUACUAAUAGACACCCUUGCGCCAUCUGCUGGCCAAAAUUAUUAAUAAGAUAAAUUAUUCAGUGUAUCUUUAUUUUAUAUAAAAUAUUACAUAUGAUCAUUUUAACAUGUUAUGUAACACAGAAACAAUGUAAUUCAAGAAACGAAAGCAAUCUUUUUUGUUUUUUAUUUUGUUGUUGGGACCAUGACAUAUUACUUUUUUCUAUAGGGACAUAAUGAAUUGCAUGUUCACAAACUUUUUAAAAGAGCAAAACCAAAACCGAAUAUAGAUGCUAAAAAAAUAAAUACUGGAAAUGAAAA